GUGGAAUUUAUUUGCCAUUUAAGGUAGAUCAAAGGAAAUUUCUAUUAGUAAAUGAAUCAAAUGAAGAAUCUUCAUGGUUAAAUGCAUAGAAAGGAUAUUUGAAGAGAGCCAAUGAUUGACAUAAGGAGAAGCAGUUAUGAAUUUUGAAAUUGAUAUAAAGGAGAGGUCAUUCAUCACAGAAGAUUUAAUCAAAGUUUACAGUAUGUUGAGAGAAGUUCAGAACAAGCAAUUUGGUUGAAGAGGAGUUGUCAACACGUCAUCUUUGAACAAGGUCAAUUGUAUUAGAAGUGAAUCCUUAACAGAAAUGAGACAAUAAUCAAAUAAUUCAAAGACUACAUGGAUGUUAUCUGGACUAGCAUUUGUAUGACCUAAAUGUGGUAUUUUUCAUAUGAACACUUACAAGGCAGAUAAUAGUCUGUGACAAACAUUUGUAUGCAAUUAAAGACUUGAAGAACUUGUACGGUAUUCUUCAGAUUUCAGUAGAAUUUGUUUAAAACGGUACAUUCUUGGUAUGAAUUGAAGAAUUUUUGCUCAUUUAACAGUCAGGGGACUUACUUAAAUGAGUGAUUUUCUAAAUCACUGAUUCAAGUAACAUUAUGUCCAUAAAGGUUGGAAGUAAGAGUUGUCUUUCUUUAAUAAUCACCUAUUUAAGUAGUACAAAUUAAUCACUAGACUGAGUGAUUUAAUUUUAUUGUAGCUUUAAAUAUAGAAUAAUAAUGAUCCAGGGACUAAUUAUGUUGCUAAAAUUAUCAGAACCAACAUCUGUGUUGAUAGGAUGACCGGGUCAUGUCAGGUGAUGACCUUGUACUAAAUCUAGGAUAAUGACAUAAAAAUCACUUGUUUAAGUAUCAUACCUCAAUUUCCUUCUUAAAUAUCACUUCUUUAAGUAUCAUUAUUUUAAUAACCCCCACUAAUUUCAACACCCCCAAACAGUGAAAUUUUGAUCGCAAACAGUAGAAUUUUAUUACAUAAUCUAUAAGAUGAAACCUUGAAUUUUACAGGAAAAAUACACCCACUGCUGGGAAAAAUCUGUUAAGAAAGUAUCAGUUCGUUAUGUAAAGCCAUUUUUAUAGCAUUUUUUCAACAAAAAUAGAAUUUGCAGCUAAAUGAUUGCACCAAAGGCAUAAACCUUGCUGCUUAAAAGAAGCAAAAAGUUCAUUUUUUUCAAUUUUACUAAUGAAAAGAUAUUAUCUAAACCUAUGUGUUUAAAAUUUUGGUAAAACUACAAAAUCACAAUUUGUGACAAAACUUCGAAUUUGCUACUUAAAUAGGUGAUUUAAAAAUCACUUAUUUCAAUAAGUCCCCUGACUGUUUAAAUGAAUUAUGAAAAUGUUUUAUAUGUUUAGAAUAAACAAAAACAACAUAAAAGAUAGAAAUUUUUUUAUUUUCUUUCUUGAAACUUAUAACAGAAUAAAUUGUCAUAUGCUAA